rnacentral:rRNA from 1 species
GACGAACGCUGGCGGCGUGCCUAAUACAUGCAAGUAGAACGCUGAAGAGAGGAGCUUGCUCUUCUUGGAUGAGUUGCGAACGGGUGAGUAACGCGUAGGUAACCUGCCUUGUAGCGGGGGAUGACUAUUGGAAACGAUAGCUAAUACCGCAUAACAAUGGAUGACACAUGUCAUUUAUUUGAAAGGGGCAAUUGCUCCACUACAAGAUGGACCUGCGUUGUAUUAGCUAGUAGGUGAGGUAAUGGCUCACCUAGGCGACGAUACAUAGCCGACCUGAGAGGGUGAUCGGCCACACUGGGACUGAGACACGGCCCAGACUCCUACGGGAGGCAGCAGUAGGGAAUCUUCGGCAAGGGGGGCAACCCUGACCGAGCAACGCCGCGUGAGUGAAGAAGGUUUUCGGAUCGUAAAGCUCUGUUGUAAGUCAAGAACGGGUGUGAGAGUGGAAAGUUCACACUGUGACGGUAGCUUACCAGAAAGGGACGGCUAACUACGUG